UCUAAAUCUCCCCUCUUUUAGUCUGAAACCAUUUCCCUUAUCCUUUCACAAUAGAUCCUGCUAAAGAGCCUACACCCUCCCUUUGGGUACUGAAAAGCUGCUAUCAGGUUUUCCUGGAGCCUGCUCUUUUCCAGGCUGAACAGCUACAGCUCUCAGCCUGUUCUUGUAGGGGAGAGGUGUUCCAUCCCUGGGAUCAUUUUUGCGGCCCUCCUUUGGAUACGCUCCGACUGGUCCACAUCUCUCCUGUACCAAGGACUCCACAUCUGGAUGAAGUACUCCAGGUGACAGGCAGGAUCACCUCCCUUGCCCUACUGGCCACACUGCUUUUGCUGCAGCCCAGAAGAUGGAAGCAAAUCCCUAAUGUACGUGUAAGGAAGAUGGGCCUUUCUGCCACCAUCUUACAACACAUCUGUCACAGAAGUUCUGACAAGGUAAACUUGUGGGAACGGGCACUGAGAUCAGCGACUGUGACAUAACCUCCCUAUUACAGAAGAUAUACAAUUAUGUGUUUGUGCGCUCCUAGGAAUAUAUGAUUGUCCAUCGACCCGAACGCCUCACACAUGAGUUUUUGAUCCUGAGGCCUAAGGGGUCGGGGCCUGCGCUGCGACCGAGCGCCCGACCCGCGCCCAC
ensembl:lncRNA